UUUUUUUUUUUUUUUUUUAAACAUGGUGACCCUGGAGCUCAUUCUGGAAAUACUCCUUCCAUGUCAGCUUGUCCUUUCAUAUGGUCUGUGUUUGCGUUGAUUCCUUAAGAGGGAGUUUAGUGACCUCAAAGAAAUUAUAUUCCAUUUAAUAGAUACAAUAUGUGAAUGAUGAUAAAAUACUAAAUUGCAAAAAAUUAAAAAUAGAAUGUCAACUGGUAACUGAGGUCUCUCCACAUUUACUUUUUCGGGGGCCCCCGAGUGGCUCAGUAGGUUAAGUGUCAGACACUUGACUUCGGCUCAGGUCAUCACCUCAGGGUCAUGAGACUGAGCACCAGGUCAGGCUCUAUGCUCAGCAGGGAGUCUGCUUGGGAUUCUCUCUCUCCCGCUGCCCCUCCUCCCACUCACGUGCUCUCUUUUUCUCUCUCUCCCUAAAAUAAAAAAAUAAAACAAAAUCUUUUUUUAAUAAAGAGACGUAAGUGAUAAAAGAAAAAAAAAACUGAGGAAAGUUUUGUGAGGUUUUUUUUUGGAAGAUGUUCAAGAAACCUUUCUGGAGUGUAUUCUUAGAACCAGUCCUUCUUCAAAACACUGUGGAUGGAGCACCUAGAGUCCACUGUUUCCACCAAUAGGAUGCUCACAGCUUGCUAUAUGUGAAUACUUUCCCUAGAAUACUCUGCUAAAGCAAUAUAUCAAUAAUCAAAUCAUGAAUAUUAUCAUAGACAAUUGAUUUUAAUGAUUUCAAGUUCAUAAUUCUGAGACAACUUAUCUUCAUGCAUUGGGAGGGCAGGGAAUGAUCCAGUUUUGAAUGACAGCAUCAACAACUCUAAGACCUGUUUCAUUCUGACAAUCUCAAAUCAUUAAUAUGAUUACUCCAUUUUAUGACAAACCAUCUCUAAAAUGCAUAAAAGUUCUAAUCAUUAACUUUGACAUAAAAGUAGUAAAUUGUACCAAUUUUAAAAUUGCACUUCAUGAAAUCCCACUAUAUUCAUUUAAGGCACUCUUUCAGACCUGGUAAUCUCUUUAUUACAUCCUCUGAUUUAUAAGAAGCAUAUAUAUUGAAUUGUAUACCCUGCUGAAUUCUCAAAUUUUAAGUAAUAUAUACAAAUACGCCUAUAAACAAGUGGUAUUGCAUGUAGGAAUCCAUUAAGUAAAUGUCAGUGCAUUUCAUCUGUUAUUUUCUUAAUUUUUAAUUUUUACUGGAAAACAGUAUUGAAUAUCUUAUAUGGAGAACUUACUUUUAUGCACAAAAGUUAAAAUUAUGUUUCACGCUACCAAUUAACAUUUUGUACAUCACAGCAGGAUUGACUAUAUUGAUACCUAUCAAAUUAUAUAAUUGCUAGAUAGAUAUAAAAGGACUAUGCAGAAGAACAUAAAAAGGGUGGCAAAUUACUCCCUUCUUUUAAAUCCACACCUUUCCAAUGAGAUAGUGCAGAUUCUCUAAGUAAGAAGUGGAGUCUGUUUCCUGAAAUUUUAAAUUUGGGUUGCUAUGUGAAAUGGUUUGGCCAAGAAAACAUUAGAUCAGGUUACAAGUGAACCUCGAACAGUUUGUGCUCGGGCUUGCUGUCUUGCUGCACUUUGAAGCAUGUGAAGAGUUUGGGCUACCUGCUGGAAGAUGAAAGAUCCUUUGAGGUGCAGACAAGGCAUCUCAGCUAAGUCCUGUCCCCCAGUCACCUGUUAGCCAUUUGGUAGUUCUGGUGUUAACUGCCAGGCACAUUUACUCCAGUAAAUGGUAAACACACUUAGUUCGGUACUGCUAUAGAGGUGUGUUUCUCCUGGCACUUCUCUAUCUGGAUCUGCUAUUUCAUUAUAUUUAUGAAGUCUAACUCUGGGUCUCUCAUUAGAAAUUUUUUUUUUAGCUUCUGUCCCAAACUAGACUGACUGCUUCCCACUAAAUUCAGAAGAUAUUUCUAUGAUUCCUUUGCUACUACCUUCUCUAAUUAUUUUUGCAACAUGAGCAGUUGUAUUUACAGGAGUUUCCUUCAAAAGCAAAUGUGCUUGAUGAAAUGCUUUCUGCCCCAAGCACUGGUGAUGGAAAAAUCAUUCAGACAUUACUGGGUUUGGGUAUUAGUGCUUAAGAGAGGGCUAAGUACCUUUAGCUGGACAAUGAUACUCUGAGGGGGCAAACAGAGCCAAGAAGGUAGUUCACAGUACUUAAAGUCUCUUUGUCUGUUUUGUUUCAUGUUUAUUGCAAAGAUCUGGCCAAAACCAACUGUCUCUUCCUGAAGUAGACCUCCAUUUCUUUGCUACCAUCCAAUGGCAUCUGAGUGGCAUUUGUUUAACCAUAUAAUAUACAAAUUGCUAAUGUAGGAGCAGGUAUCUAUAUGAAGUGUUAUUUCAAAGACUGAUAAGAAAUAAACCCUAUUGUCAAGGAAAACUCUCUACUUCCAUUAUAAAAAAAAAAGCUACAUAUGGAGAAAAAUAAGUAUUAGUAGGGAGCCCUUUAUUAAAAAUUUACACAAUGACUACAUUUUAAAACUCCUAACUUUUUGAAAUGAUGAAAAAGAAAAAAGAAACAUAUCAUUAUUGACUACAAUUAUCUAUUUAUCUAUCUUCUUGAUUAUACAUAUAUAAUCCCUCUCAGAUGAAUGCCUCAAAUGCCCACAUGUCUAUAAUCCAGGAUAAAAACUGUACCCAAUGAUUAUUCCUAUUCAAACUUUCUAUUUCAGCUAGAAGUGUGCUAGUUAAGUGCCCUUAUAGUUUGGAAGGAUAAAAGGUGGCCCUGCCAGCAUUCAGAG
rnacentral:lncRNA from 1 species